rnacentral:misc_RNA from 1 species
GUCACAGUCCUGUGCGUACAUUGCUCGGUACUACUAACACGUCCAAUACAGCUGCUAUAGCUGCAAAACUUCAGGUUCUACAAGAGCCAGCCUCACCCAACGCGCGUGGGCCCUGUAAAGGAGCAGUGAAGUCCGAUUGGCGUCAACAUGUGGCAACGAUGCUGCAGUGACAGUGCGCCCCCUACAGCCUCUCCUCCACGCGCCGGCGAUGGCGAGGAGGCUGCCACAAUAGCGAACUACCUACACGCACACCUCCACACCAUUCCUGCAGCGAUGCCAACAAGAGCUGAGUAGUACGCUCGACUCCACGAAGCGUGCCAAGUCGGAGAGGGUUCGCGUGGCACAGGAAAUCGGUGGCAUGGAGCUUUACAAGAGGACUCUUGAUGGCUUGAUGGCCUUCACGCUGACACAGCUCGAGGGCGCUGCGGUGGGAGUGAAGGAGGUGGAGGAGAAGCGGUCAAAGGAGUUCGCAGCAGCAUGGAAGAGACUCGAAGAGAUGCAGGCAAAUCUGCACCUUAGAGCCGCCUCGUGGGACGCCUCGUGUGGUCGUUGCUUGUCCGCGUAUAAAUAGAGGCCUUUUCGUUCCCCCUCUCGCACGAACAAGUCUGUAGUGGUAUUGUCGCCCAACGUUGUUUUGCUCUGUGCGCCGUAGGGCGGUGUUACGAGGCAACGCCAACAUCGCCCCCUCCCUCGUCUUCCUUUGCGAGCUGUCAGAGCUUUCCUGUGAGUGCGCCUGCGUGCAAUCACAUGCGCAUAGCCACCACCUCCGCCCCCUUCUCCCUCCUCCUCUCUCGCUUUCGCCAUCUCUCACGUAG